rnacentral:antisense_RNA from 1 species
GGGAGUGAGAUUUAUCAUUUCAGUUUUGAGUGGAUUUAAUAUGAAUAGUAAUUAUGGUAAUAAUAAUACAGCAAACAAUUAUCAAGCAUUAUAAAAGUUUUAAGCUUAUUUAAUAAAUAAAUACUUAUAUAAAAUAAUACAACUCAAAGUAUAUCUAAUAAAAAGUGAUGAAAAAAAAUAAAGAAAGAAAUAAGAAGAAAUUAAAGUACUUAUUUUACUGGUUUUUAAAUAAAGUAUCUAAAGUCAAUCCAAGAGCUUGAUCUUUUAAAUUAUUUUGAUUAUUAAUUCCUUUUUUAUUAAAGUUAAUGGGAUCAUUAGCCUGGGAAAUUUGGUUUGAAAGAAAUAAAUAAUCUAAAAUGUAAGAUUUCUGAUAAAUUGAAGACAAAUGAACUUGGAUCUUAGUAUUAUAAGAUCUAAAUGCUUGCACAAUUUGUACAAAACCUUCAAUUUGAUAAAGUUUAUUGGCUUCAAUCUUUGAUAAAAUAAUAUACAUGAGUGAAUUAGAGAUCCAUACAGUCUUUGAAAUCGUAAUCCAUUCUAGCAUAAAAGUGAAUAAAGUUGAUAAUUCUUGAGUUUGUAAGCUCUUAAUCCAUUCAACAACACUUUUAAUGCAAUUAAUUUCAUUUUGAGUAGUAGUAUCAUUGGAAUUUUCCUCAGAAUUGAGUGUUUUAAAUAAUUCUUCAUGAUUAAAACAAGGCUUUAAGAGAUUUUCAAGAAUCAAAUAAGUUUUAUAUUGUAAUUUUUGUCCAAGAGAAAGAUUUAAAGCAUUAAUAUACUCUUUUCUAUUAAAAAGCAUAUCAAUUUCAUUAAGAUCUUCAAUUCUUUUAAGAUUUUGAAGAUUUUUUUCAUCUUCAACUUGUUUAGUAUUAUCCAUCCAAAGAAUAAGUUGAGAAUCAGAUCCACCAGUCACCAUAAAUCUAGUUUUUUGUAAACUAGAUGAUGAUCCAGUAUCAUUUAAUAUGGAUUGAUUGGAUUUUUGAUUAUUAUUAUUAAUUGAAGAUUGGGUAAAAUUUGAUUCUUUAAGUAGAUUUAAUGUCCAAAUACGAUCAUUAUGUCCAGAAAAUGACUUAAUACAUUCACCAGUAUUAAUAUUCCACAGUUUAAUAAGAUUAUCAGAUCCACAAGAAAUAAUUUGAAGACCAUUUCCAAGAAAGUCAACUUGUAGAACUGAACCAUCAUGGCCUUGUAAAGUUUUAGUACAUUGAAAGUUAUUUAAAUUCCAAAUUUUAAUGGUAGAAUCUGAUGAAGCACUUGCAACAAUUUUUUCAAUUGGGGAGAAACUAGAUUGCCAUACACCACUAAGAUGACCUUUGCAAGUUCCUUGAAGUUUAAGAUCAGGAAAAGACCAAAUUUUGAUAGUUUUAUCCUCAGAACAUGUUGAAAUUAAUUUAUCAUUAUGGGAUAUAUUAAUAUGGUUAAUUUCUUUCUUAUGAGCUAUUACAUUAUGUAUAGCAAUAAUAGAAUUUGAUUCAUUAUUACAAGAUUUUGAUAAGUCUUUUGACAUUACAUUAGCAAUAUUCCAAGCCUUUAAAGUAUUAUCAUUUGAAGCAGAAAAUAAGUAGAAGCUGGUAUUUCCACGUAUAAAAGGCUUUUUUUGGAAAGAUAAUGCAGUAAUUAAUGAUGUAUGUCCAGUAAGUACUGAAAGACAUUCUUGGUUAUAAGUGGACCAAAUUCGAAUAGUUUCAUCUUUACUACCAGUUGCAAUGAUAUUGGAGCAUUUGGAAAUAUCCAUGGUUAAAACAGUACUUGUAUGACCAAUUAGAGUGCUUUUAUAAAAUGGAUAUUUAUUUAAAGACAUAAUUUGUGGAGUUUCUGUACUAUCUAGAAUUACACAGCUUAUUGAUUUGCUAUUAUCAUUGAAUGAUAAUAUAUUAUCACGAUCAUGAUCACCGGUACCAACACUAUUAUUAUUAUUAUUAUUAUUAUCAUCAUCAUCGUCAUUGAUAUCAACAUUACAAUUAUCUUUUGAAUCUAGACAGCUCUGAUUAUUUGGAUCAUUAUUAAUAAAAAGAGCUAAUUGGAUGUAAUCAGGAGUAUUACCAAAGAAUGUUGUAAAUAAUUUAAGACUUGGAUAGGAUAAAAUUACAAUAUUUCUAUCUUCAGUAACCAAAAUUAAAAAGCUAUUUGCUGAUCUCCUACUAUUUAAUGAUUCUUUUUGAUGGUCUAAAAACAUGUAUAGAAUUGCAGACUGGUUAGAAGAAUAGCUGCUUGGUGAUAAAGUUUUAAUUGAAGAACCUUCAAUUGGAUUCCAAAUUUGAAGUCCAGAUUUUUCAUUACCAGAUAAAAUAAUCCAUGGACAUUUCUUUUUUGAAUUAACUUUAUGACUAUUUUUAUGAUUAAUUUUAUCAUUAUCACCAUUAUCUUUAAGAUUAAGUUCGUUUGGGGUACAUUUUAAAGAAAAUGCAGUCUCUGUUGUAUGGAUUUGUUUUAUUGGUUUUAACUCAAAUUUAUUCAUGUCUUUUUCAGAUUUGGAAUGAUGGUCCUUUUUUCUUUUCUUAUUGGAAACAUUUAAGUCUCCUUGGUUAUCCUUAUAAGUAUUAUUAUUAAAUACUCCAAUUGAAUCUGAACAAGGUAUUUGAUCAAGAUCCCAAAUAUUAAUCAUAUUAUCAGCUCCAGAAGUAACUAAUCCUCCAAGAGAAUUACUAUUUGAAUUAAUUUCAAAUAAAUCAAAUGAAUGGAUUAAACUAUAAUGACAAUUAGUUUCUACAAUAAUUUUAUUUGUUGUUAAAUCAUAAAUGAUAAUAAAUCCUUCAACACAAGUUGAAAAUAAAAGCCACCUUUUAUUAUGAAACUUUAAUUUGGUAAUUAGAGAUUUAUGAGCCUUAAAAUUAUGUGUUGUAAAUCCUCCAAUUGCAUCAUAUAUUUGAAUUGUACCAUCAGUACCACCAGUUGAAACAUAUUGUCCAGUAGAGUCAAAUUCUAUUUCUGCUAUGCUAGCUUGACCAGAUUUCCAAGAUCUCAAAUACUCAAAUUGGACAGAAUUAAGAAUUCCUAAUUCAUCAUGUUUAAUAAUAACUUUCCAAAGUCGAAAGAUUCCUUUUGAUCCAAUUGUAAGUAUUAAUCUAUUAUUAAUGUUUUUAUUAAAAUAUCCAAAAGUGACAAUUUCUUCAGAAUGUUCAGUUCCCAAACUUUCAUCUUCGUUAUAAGGCCCAAUUGUUGAAAUAACGAAUGGGCCUUUUUCUAUUGAAACAGCUAAAAUACAACCAUCACAAAGCAUAAAAAGUACUUUUGAAUAAUUAUCAUAUUCCACUUUUCCACCAGAAUAUAGUUUUUUAAAAACUUUGUAUUUUGUCCAAGAGGAUGAAAGUAUUGGAUCACUACUUGUUACAAGACCUGUAUUCAUUUUAUUGACCUUUUAUAACGAUUACUUUUGAGUUGAGUUUAUUUAGUAUUAUAGAUUUUAUUACUUUUGUUCUUAAAGAAUAUAUAUAAAUAUAAAUAUAUAUAUAUAUAUAUAUAUAUAUAUAAAGUAAUAAAAAGUGUUAGCCAAAAUUUUAGAAGAUUUAAUUAUUCAUGAGUGUA